rnacentral:tRNA from 1 species
CGGGGCGUGGCGCAGCUUGGUAGCGCGGGUGCUUUGGGAGCACCAAGUUAUAACCUCGGAUCCCCCUGCCCCAACUA